CAGAGUAAAGAUUGGCCACUUUCCUACAUCCACCAUGACUCUGGCUUCAAGCAAUUCCUACAAAUAUGCUGGCAUCUCUGCUGUGCUGACAAGCACAUGUG